AAAGAAUAUUCCGCAAUGGACGAAAGUCUGACGGAGCAAUUCCACGUGGAGGAUGAAGGCCCUCGGGUUGUAAACUCCUUUCGGCAGGGAAGAAUAAGGUAAUCAGGAAAUGGGUUAUCGAUGACGGUACCUGCAGAAGAAGCACCGACUAACUACGUGCCAGCAGUCGCGGUAAUACGUAGGGUGCGAACGUUGUUCGGAAUCACUGGGCGUAAAGGGUGCGCAGGCGGUCAGAUAAGUAAGAUGUGAAAUCCCGGGGCUUAACUCCGGGUCUGCAUUUUAAACUGUCUGACUAGAGUUGAAAUAGGGGUGACAGGAAUUCCUGGUGUAGGAGUGAAAUCUGUAGAUAUCAGGAGGAACACCAAUAGCGAAGGCAAGUCACUGGGUAUCGACUGACGCUAAGGCACGAAAGCCAGGGGAGCAAAUGGGAUUAGAUACCCCAGUAGUC
rnacentral:rRNA from 1 species